GGGGUUGUGGCUCGGUGGUAGAAUGCUCGCCUAGCAUGUGAGAGGCCCUGGGUUUGAUCCUCAGCACCACA
rnacentral:tRNA from 1 species